rnacentral:tRNA from 1 species
GUAGAAAUAGUGUAACCCAAAACAUUAGAUUGUGAUUCUAAAAAUAAAGGUGAAACUCCUUUUUUCCACC